CCUGCCUCUAGGGGAGUCACAGGUGUGACUGCUGUGUCUUCUGUGUGUCAGUAGGUGGCACCGAAGAGAGAGGCUGUGACUGUGCUCCUUGUGUUCUGACCUGUGAAUAUCUGAUUGCUUAGUAGCCUAACAUU